GAAAAUCUCUUUAAAGUUGAAAAAAAUCAAAGUUUGAUCCUUGAGCUUUUGAAAUUAUACUCUCCAUCUGUUGAUGAAAGGCUAAGGAGGCUUCUAGUGAAACUUAGAGCGAGAUGAAGAGCCAAAGGAAGCAAUAGUAGUGAAGCUGCCAUAGCAACAACAGAGAAUCGAUUUUCUUAAAACCUAGUAGAAGUUCUUCAAGUCAUAGAGAAAAGAGUUAACAAAUUCAAAGGAGG
rnacentral:lncRNA from 1 species